rnacentral:lncRNA from 1 species
CACUUCCCAAUUGAAGGGACUUUCUGAAGAAAAACCUGAGCAGACUUUACCUCAGCUCCUGUUGCCCAUGGGUUGCUUCCACGGCAUCAUGGAGAGACUGUGCAGAUGCAUGAGACCUUUCCCUCUAGUCCCAGACAAGAUAUACAAAUGAGCCAUUGCACAGGGCUAAAGAAAACAAUCCAGGAAGGACUGAUGCACUUCUAAGCCAAUACAAAGGACUUGAAUCUAGUGUGAAGACUCAAGAUUGGCUCCUAACCUGGCUCCUAUAAUCUUGUCCCUUUUCUGUCUUUCAUAGUGUGGUAAACUUUCUGUAGUCCUGGCUACUGACUGGG